rnacentral:rRNA from 1 species
GCCCAGACUCCUACGGGAGGCAGCAGUCGGGAAUAUUGCGCAAUGGAGGAAACUCUGACGCAGUGACGCCGCGUAUAGGAAGAAGGUCUUCGGAUUGUAGACUAUUGUCGUUAGGGAAGAAAAAGGACAGUACCUAAGGAGGAAGCUCCGGCUAACUACGUGCCAGCAGCCGCGGUAAUACGUAGGGAGCAAGCGUUAUCCGGAUUUAUUGGGUGUAAAGGGGGCGUAGACGGGAUAAUAAGUUAGUUGUGAAAUCCCUCGGCUCAACUGAGGAACUGCAACUAAAACUGUUAUUCUUGAGUGUGGGAGAGGAAAGCGGAAUUCCUAGUGUAGCGGUGAAACGCG